rnacentral:rRNA from 1 species
GUGGGGAAUCUUCCGCAAUGGACGAAAGUCUGACGGAGCAACGCCGCGUGAGUGAUGAAGGUCUUCGGAUUGUAAAGCUCUGUUAAUCGGGACGAAAGAGCCUAGUGUGAAUAAUGCUAGGAAGUGACGGUACCGGAAUAGAAAGCCACGGCUAACUACGUGCCAGCAGCCGCGGUAAUACGUAGGUGGCAAGCGUUGUCCGGAAUUAUUGGGCGUAAAGCGCGCGCAGGCGGAUCUGCCAGUCUGUCUUAAAAGUUCGGGGCUUAACCCCGUGAUGGGAUGGAAACUACAGAUCUAGAGUAUCGGAGAGGAAAGUGGAAUUCCUAGUGUAGCGGUGAAAUGCGUAGAUAUUAGGAAGAACACCAGUGGCGAAGGCGACUUUCUGGACGAAAACUGACGCUGAGGCGCGAAAGCCAGGGGAGCGAACAGGAUUAGAAACCCGUGUAGUCC